rnacentral:rRNA from 1 species
UGAAUGGGUUGAACGAAAUAUUAACUGUAUCAUAAAAAUUUUAUUAAAAUUUUAUUUUUUAGUUAAAAAGCUAAAAUUUUAUUAAAGGACGAGAAGACCCUAUAGAGUUUUAUAUUUAUAAAUUUAUUAUUAAAAAAGAAAUAAAAAAAAAUUAAUUUUUAUAAUUAUUUAAUUGGGGUGAUAAUAAAAUUUAAAUAACUUUUAUAUUUAUAAAACAUUAAUAAAUGAUUAAUUGAUCCAAUUUUAUUGAUUAAAAAAUUAAAUUACCUUAGGGAUAACAGCGUAAUAUUUUUUUAGAGUUCAUAUCGAUAAAAAUGUUUGC